UUCCUCUUUCCCUCGGAGCGGGCGGCGGCGGUGGCGGCGUCCGCAGCCUGUGCAGCAAUGGCCAAGAUCAAGGCUCGAGAUCUUCGCGGGAAGAAGGAGGAGCUGCUGAAACAGCUGGACGACCUGAAGGUGGAGAUGUCCCAGCUGCGCGUCGUCAAAGUGACAGGCGGUGCGGCCUCCACGCUUUCUAAGAUCCGAGUCGUCCGGAAAUCCAUUGCCCGUGUUCUCACAGUUAUUAACCAGACUCAGAAAGAAAACCUCAGGAAAUUCUACAAGGGCAAGAAGUACAAGCCCUUGGACCUGCGGCCUAAGAAGACACGCGCCAUGCGCCGCCGGCUCAACAAGCAUGAGGAGAACCUGAACACCAAGAAGCAGCAGCGGAAGGAGUGGCUGUACCCGCUGCGGAAGUACGCGGUCAAGGCCUGAGGGGCGCAUUGUCAAUAAAGCACAGGUGGCUGAGA